rnacentral:rRNA from 1 species
UACGUAGGGUGCGAGCGUUGUCCGGAUUUAUUGGGCGUAAAGAGCUCGUAGGCGGUUUGUCGCGUCGGCCGUGAAAGUCCGGGGCUCAACUCCGGAUCUGCGGUGGGUACGGGCAGACUAGAGUGAUGUAGGGGAGACUGGAAUUCCUGGUGUAGCGGUGAAAUGCGCAGAUAUCAGGAGGAACACCGGUGGCGAAGGCGGUUCUCUGGGCAUUACCUGACGCUGAGGAGCGAAAGUGUGGGGAGCGAACAGG